UACGUAGGGGCCGAGCGUUGUCCGGAGUUAUUGGGCGUAAAGCGCGCGCAGGCGGCCUCGCGCGCCCGACGUGAAAGCCCCCGGCUUAACCGGGGAGGGUCGUUGGGGACGGCGGGGCUUGAGGGCGGGAGAGGGCGGUGGAAUUCCCGGUGUAGUGGUGAAAUGCGUAGAGAUCGGGAGGAACACCUGUGGCGAAGGCGGCGAUCUGGGUCGAUACUGACGCUGAGGUGCGAAAGCGUGGGGAGCAAACAGG
rnacentral:rRNA from 1 species